GAUGAAGAACGCAGCGAAAUGCGAUAAGUAAUGUGAAUUGCAGAAUUCAGUGAAUCAUCGAAUCUUUGAACGCACAUUGCGCCCCUUGGUAUUCCGAGGGGCAUGCCUGUUCGAGCGUCAUUAUAACCCCUCAAGCUCAGCUUGGUGUUGGGGCCUGCUGCACUGGCAGCCCUUAAAAUCAGUGGCGGCGCCAUCUGGCUCUAAGCGUAGUAAUUCUUCUCGCCAUGGAGUCCUGGUGGAUGCUUGCCAUCAACCCCCAAUUUUUCUAUGGUUGACCUCGGAUCAGGUAGGGAUACCCGCUGAACUUAAGCAUAUCAAUAAGCGGAGGA
rnacentral:misc_RNA from 1 species